UACGUAGGUGGCAAGCGUUGUCCGGAAUUAUUGGGCGUAAGCGCGCGCAGGCGGUCCUUUAAGUCUGAUGUGAAAGCCCACGGCUCAACCGUGGAGGGUCAUUGGAAACUGGGGGGACUUGAGUACAGAAGAGAAGAGUGGGAUUCCACGUGUAGCGGUGAAAUGCGUAGAGAUGUGGAGGAACACCAGUGGCGAAGGCGACUCUUUGGUCUGUAACUGACGCUGAGGCGCGAAAGCGUGGGGAGCAAACAGG
rnacentral:rRNA from 1 species